CCUACGGGAGGCAGCAGUGGGGAAUAUUGGGCAAUGGACGCAAGUCUGACCCAGCAACGCCGCGUGAAGGAAGAAGGCUUUCGGGUUGUAAACUUCUUUUAAGGGGGAAGAGCAGAAGACGGUACCUCUUGAAUAAGCCACGGCUAACUACGUGCCAGCAGCCGCGGGAAUACGUAGGUGGCAAGCGUUGUCCGGAUUUACUGGGUGUAAAGGGCGUGCAGCCGGGAAGACAAGUCAGUUGUGAAAUCCCGGGGCUCAACCGCGGAACUGCAGUUGAAACUGUUUUUCUUGAGUAUCGGAGAGGUAAUCGGAAUUCGUGGUGUAGCGGUGAAAUGCGUAGAUAUUAGGAAGAACACCAGUGGCGAAGGCGGAUUACUGGACGACAACUGACGGUGAGGCGCGAAAGCGUGGGGAGCGAACAGGAUUAGAUACCCUUGUAGUC
rnacentral:rRNA from 1 species